rnacentral:rRNA from 1 species
UACGGAGGGUGCGAGCGUUGUCCGGAAUCAUUGGGCGUAAAGGGCGCGUAGGUGGCCCGGUCAGUCAGUGGUGAAAGCGCGGGGCUCAACUCCGCGUCGGCCAUUGAUACUGCUGGGCUGGAGCACUGUAGAGGCAGGCGGAAUUCCGGGUGUAGCGGUGGAAUGCGUAGAGAUCCGGAAGAACACCGGUGGCGAAGGCGGCCUGCUGGGCAGUUGCUGACACUGAGGCGCGAAAGCCAGGGGAGCAAACGGG